rnacentral:lncRNA from 1 species
UUUGGUUGUCUUAAGCUUCUAAUCUGAAUACGAAAUUGAUUGUUAGGGUUUACAAGGGAUUGUUGUCUAAUAAUCAAAUCUAGGCUUUUUACACUGAGGGAUCGGGUUCUAAGUAAUUUAGAAAGUGACGUUAACAGUUUAAUGAAGAAGAUGAAUUGUUAUAUGCAUGAAAGUAAAGUAGGUGAAAUCUAAACCCGAACAACAUUAUCAUCUCAGAUCAUCAACACCAUUAAUUCACUCUUGUGUUAAGCCUCAAUUGAUC